UUGCUCUCUUUGCUGUGCCUCCCUCAGAAGGUUCAGACGCUCCUUCAGCUCGACCAGAGACAUCUCUCCCAGCAGAUCAUGGCCUGCAGUCUGACAUGGGACAGGUUAGCUGUGAGAAAGAGAUCCACAUGACAUCUGUGCGGCCUUCUUGUUGCGCUCCGUGAUUCGUUGGCGGGCCAGAGCGAUCUCCUCCUCAGUGAUGCGUCCCUCCAGGUGUCUGCGCUCCAUCUGGCACCGCAGGAAAGACGGGUCCGUCUGAUCCAGGACAUUCUGCUCACGGUCUCCUCGCACCAGGCGCUCCAGUCUGUGCGGCAAAUACAAACACAAAGAAAUUACACAUGAUUUGGUCAACAUUAAUGAGAGAAACCAGAGAACAAAUCACAUACAUACACCUUCACAGAUACAUGUACUCAAACUACAGAUGGGUGACAAAUUAAAGGAAAAACUUGAACCCUUGACCUCCACAGUGAGUACUCUUAUACUGUGGGGAGAGAAAAGUCUCUACAAAUCAACACAGUUCUUCUCAGUGAUUGCCUUUAUCCUGCUAUGAAACAUUUUGUGGUCACCUUCAGGAUGACAAUGCACUGAUUCAAAGGGCAAGAGGCGCCACUGAGGGGUUUCAAUUUGUAUGAAAACGAUGUGAAUCAUAUGUUCACAGUCACCUCAUGUCAACCCAGCAACAGCAAAUGAGGGAAUGUCUUUUGGAAAAUGGUGUCCAUCCCUCCAGUUGAGCUCCAGAGACUUAGAGAAUCAACACCACGGAGGAAUAAAGGUGUUUUAGCGGGAUGCAUUCUUCUAACACACUUCAUGUUGAAUUUUCCUUUAACCCUCGUGUCGUCCUGCGGGUCAAAAUUGACCCAGUUUAAGGUUUGAAAAUGUGGGAAAAAAAUAUAUAUUUUCACAGUGAAACUUCUGAUGUCUGCAUUUUCAACAUUUUUGGGAAAUCUUUGGACAUUUUUGUUGGAAAAAAAGAAAUGUUUAAAAUGUUUCUUAAGAACAUUCACACAAAAAAAUAAACCAAAAUCCAGCGAAUUGCCAUGGAUUUUGGUUUAUUUUUAUGUGAAUGUUCCUAAAGAAAAUAUUAGAAGUUUUACUGAUAUAUACAUAAUCACUUUAGAUAUUUUUAGGAUUUUUUUGGAAGAUUUUUACUCAUUUUUUGAAAACAUUUACAAGAAUUUUCUUACCAAAUUUGGGGGAUUUUUUUUUAAACUAAAACUUUUAAAAGAAUUAUAGUAAUUUUCUUCCUGAAGGUUUUUGCAAAUUUUCAGAAAUUUGGGGAUUUUUUUUGUUGAAUUUUUGGAUUUUUUUCAGACAAAGAAGCAAUAUUUUUUGGCGCCCACAAAUGAGGACAACAGGCGGGCUAAUUUCAAGUCCUACAGAGGAUCAAAUUUCUUGUCUUUGGUUGCACUUCAUUCAUGUGGCAUCUUGUGUAGAUAUUUAUUAAGUUUAACGGUAUUACACAGUGAAACAGGGCAGCUAGUAACGGGAAGACGCUGUUCUGUACCUCUGCAGCUCCUCUUCCACCUGACGGUCAACGAGCGCCUCCCUCCUCAGGAUGGCUGCUUUGUUGAGCUUGAUGGGACUGCUGUUAGUCUGACAGAAUCAGGAAAAAUACACACAUUGUAUCUACAUUAGCUAAUGCAUACACGGCUAUACUCAAGACUGAAGCAGUUCAGUUUAGAGCUCACCUUAUUAGUAGAAGGAGCUGCAGAAGAGUGAAAUGAAUUAAACCUGAGCUUUGAUUCAAGGUCUUCCUCAAUCUGGGACAUCACUCUCUGCAAAACAAGCGAUCGUGAGUUCAACAGAAAUGAAAAUGAAGUUUGUUAAGUACAGUCAGGUUCAUUUAUACAGCCUAAAAUCACAAAAAGAGCUCAAGAGGAGGAGACGAGGAGGACUCUCUCUUCUGUAAUUAGGUUUGGACUUGAAUCAAUAACAGUAUUUUGGAACUCCAUGUGAAUCACAAAAAUGAUCCUUUACCUUUGUGUGUUCAGACUUGUGUGGAUUUGCACAUCUGAACUGUUUCAUGUUUGCCUCAUACAGAUGUUCCUUUGGUGAAACACAUACAAGAAGUCAUUUAAAUAACCUGCAAUGCAAUAAGGUUGCCAGUAUCUAUGGUUAAGUAGACGUAAUUAGCAAAGACUAAUAUUUUUAAAGUGCUGGAAUGUCAAAUAAUGCAUUAUUUUUCAUAUACUGUUGAUUUACUAUCACUGUCUCCAUUACAUUUACACAUGAUGAGGCUAUGUUUUACCUUUAGAUGUGAUGCUCUUUUUCUGAUGAUAACAGUAAAAGUGGACAUCAUACCUCA